CACGUAGGGAGCAAGCGUUGUCCGGAUUUAUUGGGCGUAAAGAGCUCGUAGGCUGUUCGAUAAGUCGGGUGUGAAACCUCCAGGCUCAACCUGGAGACGCCACCCGAUACUGUCAUGACUAGAGUCCGGUAGGGGAGCGUGGAAUUCCUGGUGUAGCGGUGAAAUGCGCAGAUAUCAGGAGGAACACCAGCGGCGAAGGCGGGUCUCUGGGCCGAUACUGACGCUGAGGAGCGAAAGCGUGGGGAGCGAACAGG
rnacentral:rRNA from 1 species